CUCAAGGCUCAAGUCUCUCAUUCCCUCUCUCCCAACAAAACCGCCCUUUUUCGAGUUUUCGCUCCCCGCAAACCAAUUUCUCAAGAUGAAGUUCGCCACUGCUCUCUCUGUCCUCGCCGUUGCCGGCUCUGCUCUGGCCUCUGCCCUUCCCACCACCGACGAUGCCCUCACCCAGGCUCUGACUGCUGAGGUCUAUGACGCCGCCGC
rnacentral:misc_RNA from 1 species